UGAGGAAACGACUUGUUCAUUGGGAA
rnacentral:piRNA from 1 species